ACGAAUAAUCAUGGUGGGUUGUAGCUGGCUCCUCGGAGCAAUGUGCACGCCUGCCAUUUUUAUCUAUCCACCUGUGCACCGACUGUAGGUCUGGAUGACUCUCGCCUCACGGCGGAUGCGGGGAUUGGCUUCACGGCCUCUCCUCGAAUAUCCAGGCUCUACGUCUUUUACACACCCCAAUAGUAUGAUACAGAAUGUAGUCAAUGGGCUUAUAGCCUAUAAAACACUAUA
rnacentral:misc_RNA from 1 species